rnacentral:rRNA from 1 species
GCUAGUUGUGGGCCAGCGGCGGUGGUGAUGCGGGGGUGGCGUGUGUGUGGCGGAAGGAGUGGGCGUAAAGCGCGAGUAGGCUGGAUGGCAAGUCGGUUGUGAAAGCCCUCAGCUCAACUGAGGAAGUGCGCCCGAAACGACCGUUCUUGAGUGCCGGAGAGGGUGGCGGAAUUCCCGGUGUAGAGGUGAAAUUCGUAGAUAUCGGGAGGAACACCAGUGGCGAAGGCGGCCACCUGGACGGACACUGACGCUGAGACGCGAAAGCGUGGGGAGCAAACAGGAUUAGAUACCCUGGUAGUC